UUUAACUUGCUGUGAUGGUCACAACAGGGGCGAGUGACGGCCUCAUUUCAUAUGUAACCGUUCCAAUUUCUUUCCUUCCAAAUAACCAGGGAGAGAAGAGGAGGAUAAUGACAGUAGAUUUCUCUCUCUCUCUCUCUCUCUCUCUCUCUCUCUCUCUACAACAUUUUUUUAUUUCUCUCCAAUUGCUCUCUUUGUAGACGAUCCGUCUCCCUCUCACUACAAAUUUGUUUUAACUUCUCAAGUUUAGAAUACACAAUGCCAGUUCACACAAAUCGGGUCCAAGCAAUCCAUGGAAACAGAAGAUAGAACAUAGAAAUCAGUACACCUUGAGAAGCACCAACUCCAGUGCCAACCAUAACUACUGUGGGAGUUGCCAAACCUAGAGCGCAAGGGCAGGCUAUGACCAUGACAGAGAUGCCAAAUUGAAGAGCAAGCUGAAAUCUAUCCAUGGAGGAUGGUAUCCAAGACUUUGGAUAGGCAUUGAAUUUUCCAGCUAUAAACCAGGCAAGCCAAGUGCAAAAUGCCAGGAUAAUAACCUGUAAGAAUUAAAGUUGAAUAGUCACCAAAAGCUUGGAAAGCAAAGUGGUCUUGUUUGAUAAUUAGUACAUAUGCAAAGUGGUUUCAUGUGGCUUGUAAGAAAUAGAAAUUUUAUCAAUUGUUAAAUAAAUUUUCACAUCUUGAACU